GAGAGGACCGGGAUGGACAGACCCCUGGUGUACCAGUUGUCGUGCCAACGGCAUAGCUGGUUAGCUAUGUAUGGACUGGAUAAGUGCUGAAAGCAUCUAAGCAUGAAGCCCCCCUCAAGAUGAGAUUUCCCAACGUCGGUUAUAAGAUCCCUCGAAGAUGACGAGGUUAAUAGGUUCGAGGUGGAAGCGUGGUGACACGUGGAGCUGACGAAUACUAAUCGAUCGAAGACUUAAUCAAUUUUUAAA
rnacentral:rRNA from 1 species